ensembl:snoRNA SNORD21 Small nucleolar RNA SNORD21
GCUGAGUGAUGAUAUCCCAGUAACUGAGCUGUCCGCAGUUGGUCCUUCGGCUGCAUAUGAUGCAACAAUUGUUUCAAGACGGGACUGAUAGCAGC